rnacentral:antisense_RNA from 1 species
UUUUAUGGCGGUUGCGCGCGGGAGACCUUCGGGUCUGCCGGGUUUGGUCUCUAUCUCGGUCUGCGAACCCGCGCGCAACUGCCACCUAU